rnacentral:rRNA from 1 species
GAUGAACGCUGGCGGCGUGCCUAAUACAUGCAAGUCGAGCGAACGGACGAGAAUCUUGCUUCUCUGUUGUUAGCGGCGGACGGGUGAGUAACACGUGGAUAACCUACCUAUAAGACUGGGAUAACUUCGGGAAACCGGAGCUAAUACCGGAUAAUAUUUUGAACCGCAUGGUUCAAAAGUGAAAGACGGUCUUGCUGUCACUUAUAGAUGGUUCCGCGCUGCAUUAGCUAGUUGGUAAGGUAACGGCUUACGAAGGCAACGAUGCAUAGCCGACCUGAGAGGGUGAUCGGCCACACUGGAACUGAGACACGGUCCAGACUCAUACGGGAGGCAGCAGUAGGGAAUCUGCAGCAAUGAGCGAGAGCGUGACGGAGCAACGCCGCGGGAGUGAUGAAGGUCUUCGGAUCGGAAAUCUCUGUUAUUAGGGAAGAACAUAUGUGUAAGUAACUGUGCACAUCUUGACGGUACCUGAUGAGAAAGCCACGGCUAACUACGUG